rnacentral:rRNA from 1 species
UUUUAUGGAGAGUUUGAUCCUGGCUCAGGAUGAACGCUGGCGGCGUGCCUAAUACAUGCAAGUCGAGCGAACGGACGAGAAGCUGGCUUCUCUGAUGUUAGCGGCGGACGGGGUGGUAACACGUGGAUAACCUCCCUAUAAGAAUGGGAUAACUUCGGGAAACCGGGGGUAAUACCGGAUGGUAUUUUGAACCGCCUGGUUCAAAAGGGCAAGACGGGCUAGCGGUCACCUAUAG